UGGGGAAUAUUGGACAAUGGGCGCAAGCCUGAUCCAGCCAUGCCGCGUGGGUGAAGAAGGCCCUAGGGUUGUAAAUCCCUUUCAGCGGGGAAGAUAAUGACGGUAGCCGGAGAAGAAGCCCCGGCUAACUCCGUGCCAGCAGCCGCGGUAAUACGGAGGGGGCUAGCGUUGUUCGGAAUUACUGGGCGUAAAGGGCGUGUAGGCGGCUUGUCCAGUCAGGCGUGAAAGCCCCGGGCUUAACCUGGGAACUGCGCUUGAUACUGGCAGGCUAGAGGUUGGAAGAGGAGAGUGGAAUUCCCAGUGUAGAGGUGAAAUUCGUAGAUAUUGGGAAGAACACCAGUGGCGAAGGCGGCUCUCUGGUCCACACCUGACGCUGAGGCGCGAAAGCGUGGGGAGCAAACAGGAUUAGAUACCCGCGUAGUCC
rnacentral:rRNA from 1 species